AGUCACUUCCUGGUGCGCAGCUCUCUAGCCCGCUUGCCCCGGCUCCUCCCAGCGCUGCGGGGCUCCUCCUCUGGCUCGCACGCCGCCCAACCUCGCUGACUCUACUUGUGCCCUUCCGAGGAAGUGCUCCUGUCUCAGCAGCCUGCUGGACGGUUUUUUUUUUGUUGUUUGUUUGUUUUUUCCAAGUUCCUCUCUGCGACCCUGCCCACUGCUGCUCUUUUCUCCCCAUCAAAUUGAGAUCUGCAUAAGCCAAGGAAGAAAAUCCUGAAGAAAUUCACAUCGCCUUGUUAAAGAGUCGUUUUGUCCGGUUCACAGCCUCUGGUUACUGCUACACUAUCUAUGAUGGCCCUCACUGGAACUCCUCUUUGGAUACCCUGCUGAUGUCCUGUGACAUGGAGAUCCUGCAGCUUCGGGUCUGCAGGCACUGGCAAGACGGCUCAGCGGGUGAAGGCACUUGCCAUCAAGACUGACCACCUGAAUUCAAGACCUAGGACCCACGUAAUGAAAGAAGAGGACUCCUGCAAGUUGUCGUCUGCCCUUCACACAGGUGCUGUGGCACCCACAAACACACAAACAGACACAAGUAAAUGUAUAAAAAAUAAAUAAAUUCAGGGGCUGAAGAGGUGGCUCAGUGAUUUUCAAGUGAUAGCUGCACUUACAGAGAACCUGAAUUCAACCCCCAGCACCCACAUGGCAACUUACAGCCAUUCAAAACUCCAGUCCUAAGGGUGCUAAUGCCCUCUUAUGACCUCCUCAGGCACUGCAUACACUUGGUACACACACAUACAUGCAGGCAAAACACUCAUGCACAUAAAAUAAAAUAGAAAUCUAAGAAGAACACACUGUAACAGGACCUAGAGAGAGAGCCCCAUGGUUAAGAGCACUUACUGCCAAUGACCUGAAUGUAGUUCUUAGCACUCGGACUGGGAAGCUCACAACCAUUUAUACUCUAGCUCCUAGGGAUCU